AGAAUCAACGCUGGCGGCGUGCCUAACACAUGCAAGUCGCACGAGAAAGGGUAGCAAUACCUGAGUACAGUGGCGCACGGGUGAGUAACACGUGAAUAAUCUACCUCCGAGUGGGGAAUAACUGAGAGAAAUCUUAGCUAAUACCGCAUAAUACCCACGGGUCAAAGCAGCAAUGCGCUUGGAGAGGAGUUCGCGGCAGAUUAGUUAGUUGGCGGGGUAAUGGCCCACCAAGACGAUGAUCUGUAUCCGGCCUGAGAGGGCGCACGGACACACUGGAACUGAAACACGGUCCAGACUCCUACGGGAGGCAGCAGUGGGGAAUUUUGCGCAAUGGGGGAAACCCUGACGCAGCAACGCCGCGUGGAGGAUGAAGCCCCUUGGGGUGUAAACUCCUUUCGAUCGGGAAGAUAAUGACGGUACCGAUAUAAGAAGCCCGGCUAACUUCGUGCCAGUAGCCGC
rnacentral:rRNA from 1 species